GUCUACAGCCAUACCACCCUGAACGCGCCUGAUCUGAUCUCGGAAGCUAAGCAGGGUCGGGCCUGGUUAGGACUUGGAUGGGAGAAAAUCCUGACGUUCUUAACA
rnacentral:rRNA from 1 species